AUCAGUUUGAACGCGGCAGUCCAGAGGGAAUGACAUACUUAUACUUCUCUCGUGCAUACCAUCCAGUCACUAUGCAUGUUGUUAAUAUAAAUAGCUGUGUGCUUACUGUGGGGUGAACCUGGUACCGGAUUUUUCUGAGGUCCCUUCUUCCAGCCAGUAUGUAAACCACUUUCAUCGAUGGUGGUGCUCAUUGCCGAAUAUUGGUGAAGUCUUGUGUAGACUAAGUGGCCAGUGGAGAACAUUGUCCAUUGGAGGACCUUACCAGUCCAUUUUUGUUUAGACCAAGUGGCAAUAGACUACAGUGGAGGACCUUACCAGUUCCCAUACUAGGACCACUACUUUCAAUAUGUAUUGAAUCAAACUAUAUUAAAUAUGUAAAAACAA